AACACGUGAGUAACCUGCCCUUGACUCUGGGAUAAGCCCGGGAAACUGGGUCUAAUACCGGAUAGGAGCGCCUGUCGCAUGACGGGUGUUGGAAAGAUUUUUCGGUCAUGGAUGGACUCGCGGCCUAUCAGCUUGUUGGUGAGGUAAUGGCUCACCAAGGCGACGACGGGUAGCCGGCCUGAGAGGGUGACCGGCCACACUGGGACUGAGACACGGCCCAGACUCCUACGGGAGGCAGCAGUGGGGAAUAUUGCACAAUGGGCGGAAGCCUGAUGCAGCGACGCCGCGUGAGGGAUGACGGCCUUCGGGUUGUAAACCUCUUUCAGUAGGGAAGAAGCGAAAGUGACGGUACCUGCAGAAGAAGCACCGGCUAACUACGUGCCAGCAGCCGCGGUAAUACGUAGGGUGCGAGCGUUAUCCGGAAUUAUUGGGCGUAAAGAGCUCGUAGGCGGUUUGUCGCGUCUGUCGUGAAAGUCCGGGGCUUAACCCCGGAUCUGCGGUGGGUACGGGCAGACUAGAGUGCAGUAGGGGAGACUGGAAUUCCUGGUGUAGCGGUGGAAUGCGCAGAU
rnacentral:rRNA from 1 species